UAGGGAAUCUUCGGCAAUGGGGGGAACCCUGACCGAGCAACGCCGCGUGAGUGAAGAAGGUUUUCGGAUCGUAAAGCUCUGUUGUUAAGGAAGAACGAGUGUGAGAAUGGAAAGUUCAUGCUGUGACGGUACUUAACCAGAAAGGGACGGCUAACUACGUGCCAGCAGCCGCGGUAAUACGUAGGUCCCGAGCGUUGUCCGGAUUUAUUGGGCGUAAAGCGAGCGCAGGCGGUUAGAAAAGUCUGAAGUGAAAGGCAGUGGCUCAACCAUUGUAGGCUUUGGAAACUGUUUAACUUGAGUGCAGAAGGGGAGGGUGGAAUUCCAUGUGUAGCGGUGAAAUACAUAACUAUAUGGAGGAACACCGGUGGCGAAAGCGUCUCUCUGGUCUGUAACUGACGCAGAGGCUCGAAAGCGUGGGGAGCGAACAGG
rnacentral:rRNA from 1 species